rnacentral:rRNA from 1 species
CAAGUCGAACGGGAUUUUUUCCUGUAGCAAUACAGGAAAAAGUCUAGUGGCGAACGGGUGCGUAACACGUGAGCAACCUGCCGUGAAGUGGGGGAUAGCUCGCCGAAAGGCGAAUUAAUACCGCAUGUGGCCAAGGAAGACAUCUUCCUGACGCCAAAGCCGGGGCAACCUGGCGCUUCUCGAGGGGCUCGCGGCCUAUCAGCUUGUUGGUGAGGUAACGGCUCACCAAGGCUAUGACGGGUAGCUGGUCUGAGAGGACGACCAGCCACACUGGAACUGAGACACGGUCCAGACACCUACGGGUGGCAGCAGUCGAGAACUUUUCACAAUGGGGGAAACCCUGAUGGAGCGACGCCGCGUGGAGGAUGAAGGUUUUCGGAUUGUAAACUCCUGUCAUUAGAGAACAAGGCACACAGUUUAACUGGCCGUGUGUUGAUAGUAUCUGAAGAGGAAGAGACGGCUAACUCUGUGCCAGCAGCCGCGGUAAUACAGAGGUCUCAAGCGUUGUUCGGAUUCAUUGGGCGUAAAGGGUGCGUAGGUGGCGAUGUAAGUCGGAUGUGAAAUCUCCAAGCUUAACUUGGAAACUGCAUUCGAUACUGCGUUGCUAGAGGACUGUAGAGGGCAUUGGAAUUCACGGUGUAGCAGUGAAAUGCGUAGAUAUCGUGAGGAAGACCAGUGGCGAAGGCGAAUGCCUGGGCAGUUCCUGACACUGAGGCACGAAGGCCAGGGGAGCAAACGGGAUUAGAUACCCCGGUAGUCCUGGCAGUAAACGGUGCACGUUUGGUGUGGGAGGAUUCGACCCCUUCCGUGCCGGAGCAAACGCGUUAAACGUGCCGCCUGGGGAGUACGGUCGCAAGAUUAAAACUCAAAGAAAUUGACGG